ACGAGGUGGCGGGACGGGUGAGUAAGUGUCGUAGGGAAACUCGGCCCGGGUAGGGGAGGGGAUAACUACGUAGAACGGUAGCUAAUACCGCAUAACGUCGCAAGACCAAAGAGGGGGACCUUCGGGCCUCUUGCCACCGGAUGUGCCCAGAUGGGAUUAGCUUGUUGGUGGGGUAACGGCUCACCAAGGCGACGAUCCCUAGCUGGUCUGAGAGGAUGACCAGCCACACUGGAACUGAGACACGGUCCAGACUCCUACGGAAGGCAGCAG
rnacentral:rRNA from 1 species